rnacentral:rRNA from 1 species
UACAGAGGUCUCAAGCGUUGUUCGGAUUCAUUGGGCGUAAAGGGUGCGUAGGCGGCGCGGUAAGUCGGGUGUGAAAUCUUGGAGCUUAACUCCGAAACUGCAUUUGAUACUGGCGUGCUUGAGGACUGGAGAGGAGACUGGAAUUCAUGGUGUAGCAGUGAAAUGCGUAGAGAUCAUGAGGAAGACCAGUGGCGAAGGCGGGUCUCCGGACAGUUCCUGACACUGAGGCACGAAGGCCAGGGGAGCAAACGGG